rnacentral:lncRNA from 10 species
GACGCAGGUGCGUUCCCGUCGAGGCUCGCGCAGCGGGCGUUUUUGGGGAUCGCCUGGCGGGGGUGUUCGGGAGCCGCGGGCUGAAGCACGGGGGCGUGCAGGCGCCCAGGCCUCGUGUAGUGAGGGCCGAGCCCCGCGCCGGCUUCGCUGUAGUCCGCAGCCCCCGGCGGCUUUGUGGGCGCAGCCACGCUCCUCAGCCGCCCGCCCACCUGGGCCUGGGCCCCGGUUGUUUCCCUGCGGUGGCUGUGGUCGUUCCCGUUCCAGGGUCUCGAGCGCACCGCCCCUUCGCUGCGCUGUUAGUCGAGGGCAGUUUUCUGGGGGAUCCCCCGAUCCCCCCGCGCCGCUCAGGCGUCUUGGCUCGCGGAAGCGCAGGCGCCGACUGCCUGGCGUCGUCCGUGACUCCUGGCCCUUCUCUGUGGAUCCCUUUGCUUCUCGUUGCGGGUUGUGUUUCCUGCUUCGUGGGCCUGGCCGUUUGCGUUUGGAUGCAGGCCCGGGUGAGCCCUGCGUGGCCCGCUGGCCUUUUCCUGCUCCCUAGGUGACUGAGCCGCGUGUGUGACACAUCGGAGUGAAUUGAGGCAACGCGUUCCUUUCCAGGCUUGCAGCGGGCGGUGUCGUUCACGCUCCUGAGCAGAGCCUUCCGGUGCUUUACUCGACGCCACAAAUAGUGCAGGGUUCCUCCCAGGGGCUGUCGCGAGCUAGAACUCUUCCCCGCCCCUGUGAGCUCGGGCUGUUCUUCCUCCUCCGCGUGGCUCACUCCAGCCUCGGAUGUUUCCUCGCUGCACAGACCUGCUCGGGAAGACUCGAGAAGGCCACCCCAGGACUCCAGCUCUCCCCGGAAGGGCUUCCCCUCGGAUUGCGUCUUGGCCCCUGGAACCCUCCCUCUGUAUCCUCUGCUGUUCCUCUCUUGGCCUCCAUUUGGGUUGUGGCCUGGAUACUCUGGCUCGCUGCUUCCCUUCUCUUAAGGAUCACAGCCCUGCACUGCCUGUCGUCCGGUGCCUGGAAACCAUUGUAUUUUUUGGUCUGAUUUUGUAGUUGUUUGAGAACUUAAGUCUGGUCCCUCACACUCCAUGCCCAGAAGCAGAAAUGAGUAAAGUUUGUUUUAUCUUUUCUUAAUAUGA